UUUAUAUAUCUGACACCCAGCCCACAAAACUCCAGACUCUCUUUAACCUCAAAAGAAAAUAACAUUUUAUUUCUAUUCUAGAUCCUUAUGCCAAGCAGACACUUUUGGUAAGUCCUGUUACUUCUUAAUUUCCUAGCCUUUUUUUUUUUUAUUAUAGUAUUGACAUUUUAUUUGACAGUUUUCAGUAUGCUGUUUUUUUUUGUGUUUAUCUUAAGAAAAACAAGUCAUAUAUUAGUUUGGAUAUUGGAUAAUCAACACUCUACCUUUUAUUCUUUGUUUAUUUUCAAGGCAAUUGGAAGUAGGAUUUCUGAUUUACUAUGCUGUAUUUUAUUUAUUCAUUUAUACUGGUGAAGAUGACAGUAUUUUAGACUUUCUGGGGGGAGGGAGGGGUGGACGGGGAGCAUAUGGGAAAAGUUACUUGGAACAAGUAAAUGUAAAAGGUUAUUGCACCUAUUUCAUACAUUGCUUUUCUAGAUAUGUGUAAUGUUGCACAAUAUAUACAGUGAUUUUGCUAAAAUCUGUGAAUUUACUUAUGCAUAUUUUUAUUCAAGAAUUUUUUUUAUCAUGCUUUGAUAUCAUUGCAUAGUAUAAAUAUAUAUAUAUAUAAAAAUCACACCUUUAUAGUGAUACACACACACACGUGUGUAUUAAGUUAAGAAAUCCUUAUAUUUCAUUUUCAUUAAAUCACAUUGUAAACUGCAGACUGUAGAAGCAAUUAUCUCUUCAUAAUUUUUGUUUUGUUUACGUUUAUGAUGCUCAUUCAGUUUGGUCUUAGUGAAACUAAUGCCAAGCAAAAUGCAUCAUUCUGCUAAUAAUCUUUUCAUAUUUACAUGCAACAAGAUCAUGUGAACAUGGUGUAGCUAUAGCUAAAGAUACAUGUCUGGUAAUUAUAUACACAAGAAAACUUUAUUAUGUUCAAACAGCAUUAUUGGAUAUGGAAUUCUCAUUAACACCUCUUUAAAAUCUAAGCAUUGCUAUCUAAGUGCCAAGCAGCUCAUUUUGCAGAAGGGAGGCACUUGGUAAAAUAAAACAUUAAAUUAUGAUGAACUAGCAAUGUACUUGAUUUCAAAAAAUGUGUUUAACCUAUGGGCUGCCAGAGGGACGGCUAGUGCUUUCCAAAUUGUCUCCAUUCCUUAUGUUUAUAAAAGUUUUAUGAAACCUGCACGUUACUAACACGCAAUUAUACACAAACAAACACACGCACUUGUGAACAUGCAAACACUGACACACUCACAAACUGUGACAGGUGUAAUCCUGUUUCUUUAUGAAGUUUAAAUGAUGACAGUAGACCUUCAUAAUAAAAUUCUGCACCUAAAAUAUCUAUCUAUCUAUCUAUCUAUCUAUCUAUUUAUCUAAUUACUUCCCUUCUUCAUCAUACAUCAUCAUCUUCCAUAACAUUAAGGAACACUAGCUAAACAACCCUUUGGCUAAGUAUUGAUAUGUUCCUUGUUAUUUACUCCAUUUUAUAUCAUGCCAUCUGUGACUGCACCCCCUUCCCCGAGGGAGACCCUAGUCCCUUGUUUUAGUUCUUUUCAUGUACUUUGUAGUUUUUACGCUAUUCUGUUUUAUUGAUUUGCUUAACUUGUGUUAUUGUACACUGUAGUUUUAAAGAAUCGUAAGACUGUGUGUGGUACCUAAAUUGUAGUUAAAUCUCAUACUACUUUCAUGGAAUUUUGUUGGGAACAAUUAUUGUUAGGGAUACUUGUUGGAUAAAAGGUUGAUAUUGAGUAUGCUUGGCUGGAAUAAUUUAAUACUAGUGGCACUUGUCUGGAAACAAUUUAGAACCAGUGGCUUAGAUAAAUAGAUAUGCAUUAAAGAGAUCACAGAGUUUUCAAUAUGAUUUAUUCCAUAUGCAUAUGCAUCACACACACACACACACACACACACACACACACACACUGUUCAAUAUAUAUUCAUAUAUAUUUAAAAUCCACGCACAUAUUCCAACUGAUUAUAAAUAUAUAUAUAUAACACACAUUUUUAUAGUGUAUUGACAUAUCUCUAUGUUUUACUUUUAGCCUCUGAUUGUGAUGUCUGCAACUUUGAAUUUGACGUUUGCACAAUUUCAAAGGUAUAAAAUCAUUAUUAGUUAUUUUUUUUCUGGUUUCUUUUCAUUUCCAGAUACCUGGAAGUACAGACUCUUGUAACCUGCAGCCUGGUAUAUUUUCUUGUUCUUCAAAUACAGCAUCAAUUCCUGCAUUUUUCCGUGCUAUACCCUGUUUGACCCUGCUUGUAAAAAAAAUACAAGUAUGUUGCUUCCCGUCUGAUGUCAUUAUGACCAACUCCAAAAAUUCCUUGGUUUCUUUUUACAGUUAUCCUAAUUUGUAGACAUCAAAAGCUGGGGGAUAUGGCUGGAUCCCUGUCUAAAGAAAGACUAGCUGUUAUGGUGUAACAGGGACAGGCAGUAAAAGUUGGUUAAAAGUGUCCAGAUUGGCCAUUCUGAAGAAUAUGGCCUUGUCUUUGUGAAGGAACAUAUUUGUGAGCAUCCAAAUGGUAACUAUGGAGAGGGAAUUAAAGGGCUUACAGAAAGCACACUGAAUAGGGUUCAACUAGAGAGAGUGAGAGAAAGGAUUCUGUUUAACCUAAAAAAAAACAAAAAAACUCCAGCAAC